GUGGGGAAUUUUGGACAAUGGGCGCAAGCCUGAUCCAGCGACGCCGCGUGGAGGACGAAGGCCUUCGGGUUGUAAACUCCUUUUGGAGGGGAAGAAUAAAUUGACGGUACCCUCAGAAAAAGCCACGGCUAACUACGUGCCAGCAGCCGCGGUAAUACGUAGGUGGCGAGCGUUACUCGGAAUUACUAGGCGUAAAGCGUAUGUAGGUGGUUAGAUAAGUCUAUGGUGAAAUUUCCUGGCUUAACUGGGAAGGGACAUAGAUACUAUCUGGCUUGAGUGUGGGAGGUGGAGACGGAAUUCCUGGUGUAGCGGUGAAAUGCGUAGAUAUCAGGAGGAACACCGAUGGCGAAAGCAGUCUCCUGGCCCAAUACUGACACUGAGGUACGAAAGCUAGGGUAGCAAACAGGAUUAGAUACCCGGGUAGUCC
rnacentral:rRNA from 1 species